UUUCAUGCCCUUGUUCCUCAGCCCACUUACUGCUCCUUCAACCAUUUCAGGUCAUUUGAAUCUGCUCAGUGUGCUUUGUCAUUUGUGGGACCAUUUCACAUGCCAGCAUCUGAAGAGUGCCAGCCACAUGGAUUCAAUGUUUACUGAAAGAAUCAAGGACCACCUGCUUAAAAGCAUGGAGACAUCCUGGGGAAGUAGGAGAGAGAAGUGUACAGACCAGGGCUCAUGUGUGAGGAGAGGGAGGGUGAGAGAGAGAAUCCAAGCUGAUGGCGCCUCUACCAACUGGAAAUUAACGAGAAGAGUGAACUGAAAGUAAACAUUGACAUUUGCCUGAAUGGAGAAACAAUGCUUUCACCUGCAUUUCAUUGACCAAAUCAAAAUCCACGGAUAUAAACUAAAUUUAAGUGAAUGGGAGAAUCACACAAAAGAAGACAAGAUGAAUGACUGGAAUGCACCCGGAUGGGUUUGAAGAGGAGCCCAGGAGUGAGGGUCACUCCCAAAAGUCUUCCAGGCACAAAUCACACAAAAGAAGAUGAGAUGAAAGACUGGAAUGCACCAGGUGGGUUUGGAGAGGAUCCCAGGAGUGAGGGUCACUCCCAAAAGUCUUCCAGUCACAAGAAGAAGGAGCAGCUCAGUGACUGACUUGGCCAGUAGAGAGGUCAAGCGUGUAACUGGGUUUAAAGGACUCUGGAGCUAUGGACUUUCACUUCUCAACAAUGUGUCAUCUGGGCCGAGAGGGACAUUGACAAAUAUACUGCGGUGCGGUUUCUGGAGGUCGCUUUCUGAGAGAGAUGUUGAAAUAACACGCUUGUGUGUCAGUCACGGGGAGUUGGGCUGGAGCAGUAG